rnacentral:rRNA from 1 species
CCUACGGGAGGCAGCAGUGAGGAAUAUUGGUCAAUGGGCGCGAGCCUGAACCAGCCAAGUAGCGUGAAGGAUGACUGCCCUACGGGUUGUAAACUUCUUUUAUAAAGGAAUAAAGUGAGGCACGUGGGCCUGUUUGUAUGUACUGUAUGAAUAAGGAUCGGCUAACUCCGUGCCAGCAGCCGCGGUAAUACGGAGGAUCCGAGCGUUAUCCGGAUUUAUUGGGUUUAAAGGGAGCGUAGAGGGGUUGGUAAGUCAGUGGUGAAAGUUUGCGGCUCAACCGUACAAUUGCCAUUGAUACUGGCAGUCUUGAGUCCAGUUGUGGUCGGCGGCCUUCGUGGUGUAGCGGUCAAAUGCUUAGCUAUCAC